ACCACUAAUGUUAGACUCCUUACUUGCUCAAGCUAAAGCACUCUUUAGUAAUAGAGCAUUCAUCACCAGCCUAGCUACUCCCUAAGCCUAACCCAAGCUUUANNAAGGGUAAUGGCUUAGGGAAUACAAGGCUAGGUGUGUGAGGGGGAUAACAAACGGUGGUGUCACAAAAUCGGAGGCCACGACUGUUUACUAAAAACACAAUUCAGAGCAAUGAUGAAAAUCAUAGUAUUCUGGAUGAAAUUUGCCCGAUGCCAUUAACAUAAAAGAGGUAAUGGGAAACUGUUACUAAUUGAAAGU
rnacentral:rRNA from 1 species